GACGAACGCUGGCGGCGUGCUUAACACAUGCAAGUCGAACGGAAAGGCCUCUUUCGGGGGGUACUCGCGUGGCGAACGGGUGGGUAACACGUGAGUAACCUGCCCUUGACUUUGGGAUAACUUCAGGAAACUGGGGCUAAUACCGGAUAGGAGCUCCUGCAGCAUGGUGGGGGUUGGAAAGUUUCGGCGGUUGGGGAUGGACUCGCGGCUUAUCAGCUUGUUGGUGGGGUAGUGGCUUACCAAGGCUUUGACGGGUAGCCGGCCUGAGAGAGUGACCGGCCACAUUGGGACUGAGAUACGGCCCAGACUCCUACGGGAGGCAGAAGUGGGGAAGAUUGCACAAUGGGUGGAAGCCUGAUGCAGCAACGCCGUGUGCGGGAUGACGGCCUUCGGGUUGUAAACCGCUUUCGCCCAUGACGAAGCUUUGUGUGACGGUAGUGGGUAAAGAAGCACCGGCUAACUACGUG
rnacentral:rRNA from 1 species